GCGCGGUAAGCGCGCUGGACAUAGCCGGGCGAGUGGAGGCCAGCCAAUCAUGGUCACACCACAGAAGUUUUGCUUGAAGUGGAACAACUUCAAGAACAGUGUCACAUCUGUUUUUGAUAAUCUUCGUCAAGAUGAGGAGCUAGUGGACAUUACACUGUGUUGUGAGGGGAAGAAGAUAAAGGCACACAGGAUGAUGCUAUCUGCCUGCAGCCCAUAUUUCAGAGAUCUUCUGAAAGACAAUCCAUGCCAGCAUCCACUUUUCUUCCUCAAGGACACAUCAUAUGUGGACAUUGCAGCAGUCAUUGAGUUUGUGUACAAGGGUGAGGUCAAUGUCCUCCAGAGUCAGCUGGGCAGCUUUCUGAAGACUGCAGAGAUGCUCCAAGUCAAAGGUCUAUCAGGAGAUGAUGAUGAUGAACAGGUGCCCCGAUCUCAGCCGGCGGCGGCGGUGGUCCGCGAG